CGGCCGGUGCUUGCAGCUGCGGCAUCAUCAAGAUUCACACGAACGUCCGGGGAGCCCCGUCGUCGUCGUCGAUGAGAAUCUUGAUGAUGCUGCAUCAGCAAACAAGCGGCUA
rnacentral:pre_miRNA from 15 species